rnacentral:pre_miRNA from 1 species
CAGAUACUCCCUCCGUCCCAUAUUAAGUGACUUUCUAUUACAUGUAUCUAGACGCUUUUUAGGCAUAGAUACAUUCAUAUUUGGACAAAUUUGAGUCACUUAAUAUGAGACGGAGGGAGUACAAG